GAUGAACGUUGGCGGUGUGCCUAAUACAUGCAAGUCGAACGGAGUCAGUAGCAAUAUUGGCUCAGUGGCGAACGGGUGAGUAACGCGUUGGUGAUCUGCCUUGAAGUGUGGAAUAACGUUUCGAAAGAGACGCUAAUACCGCAUGUGCUCUCGAUUUUCAGAAAGUUGAGAGUAAAGGAUUUAUUCGCUUCAAGAGGAGCCUGCGUCCCAUCAGCUGGUUGGUAGGGUAACGGCCUACCAAGGCUAUGACGGGUAGGGGACCUGAGAGGGUGGCCCCCCACAAUGGAACUGAAACACGGUCCAUACACCUACGGGUGGCAG
rnacentral:rRNA from 1 species